CUACGGGGUGCAGCAGUGGGGAAUAUUGCACAAUGGGCGCAAGCCUGAUGCAGCCAUGCCGCGUGUAUGAAGAAGGCCUUCGGGUUGUAAAGUACUUUCAGCGGGGAGGAAGGGAGUAAAGUUAAUACCUUUGCUCAUUGACGUUACCCGCAGAAGAAGCACCGGCUAACUCCGUGCCAGCAGCCGCGGUAAUACGGAGGGUGCAAGCGUUAAUCGGAAUUACUGGGCGUAAAGCGCACGCAGGCGGUUUGUUAAGUCAGAUGUGAAAUCCCCGGGCUCAACCUGGGAACUGCAUCUGAUACUGGCAAGCUUGAGUCUCGUAGGGGGGGGUAGAAUUCCAGGUGUAGCGGUGAAAUGCGUAGAGAUCUGGAGGAAUACCGGUGGCGAAGGCGGCCCCCCGGACGAAGACUGACGCUCAGGUGCGAAAGCGUGGGGAGCAAACAGGAUUAGAUACCCGAGUAGUC
rnacentral:rRNA from 1 species